GCAUAUCAAUAAGCGGAGGAAAAGAAACCAACAGGGAUUGCCUUAGUAACGGCGAGUGAAGCGGCAAAAGCUCAAAUUUGAAAUCUGGCACCUUCGGUGUCCGAGUUGUAAUUUGAAGAAGGUAACUUUGGAGUUGGCUCUUGUCUAUGUUCCUUGGAACAGGACGUCACAGAGGGUGAGAAUCCCGUGCGAUGAGAUGCCCAAUUCUAUGUAAAGUGCUUUCGAAGAGUCGAGUUGUUUGGGAAUGCAGCUCUAAGUGGGUGGUAAAUUCCAUCUAAAGCUAAAUAUUGGCGAGAGACCGAUAGCGAACAAGUACAGUGAUGGAAAGAUGAAAAGAACUUUGAAAAGAGAGUGAAAAAGUACGUGAAAUUGUUGAAAGGGAAGGGCUUGAGAUCAGACUUGGUAUUUUGCGAUCCUUUCCUUCUUGGUUGGGUUCCUCGCAGCUUACUGGGCCAGCAUCGGUUUGGAUGGUAGGAUAAUGACUAAGGAAUGUGGCUCUACUUCGGUGGAGUGUUAUAGCCUUGGUUGAUACUGCCUGUCUAGACCGAGGACUGCGUCUUUGACUAGGAUGCUGGCAUAAUGAUCUUAAGCCACCCGUCUUAAA
rnacentral:rRNA from 1 species